UCACACUAUCAUUAACUGAAUCCAUAGGUUAAUGAGGCGAACCGGGGGAACUGAAACAUCUAAGUACCCCGAGGAAAAGAAAUCAACCGAGAUUCCCCCAGUAGCGGCGAGCGAACGGGGAGGAGCCCAGAGCCUGAAUCAGCAUGUGUGUUAGUGGAAGCGUCUGGAAAGGCGCGCGAUACAGGGUGACAGCCCCGUACACAAAAGCGCAUGUGCUGUGAGCUCGAUGAGUAGGGCGGGACACGUGGUAUCCUGUCUGAAUAUGGGGGGACCAUCCUCCAAGGCUAAAUACUCCUGACUGACCGAUAGUGAACCAGUACCGUGAGGGAAAGGCGAAAAGAACCCCGGCGAGGGGAGUGAAAAAGAACCUGAAACCGUGUACGUACAAGCAGUGGGAGCACAGGUUUACCUGUGUGACUGCGUACCUUUUGUAUAAUGGGUCAGCGACUUAUAUUCUGUAGCAAGGUUAACCGAAUAGGGGAGCCGGAGGGAAACCGAGUCUUAAUUGGGCGUUAAGUUGCAGGGUAUAGACCCGAAACCCGGUGAUCUAGCCAUGGGCAGGUUGAAGGUUGGGUAACACUAACUGGAGGACCGAACCGACUAAUGUUGAAAAAUUAGCGGAUGACCUGUGGCUGGGGGUGAAAGGCCAAUCAAACCGGGAGAUAGCUGGUUCUCCCCGAAAGCUAUUUAGGUAGCGCCUCGUGAAUUCAUCUCCGGGGGUAGAGCACUGUUUCGGCUAGGGGGCCAUCCCGGCUUACCAACCCGAUGCAAACUGCGAAUACCGGAGAAUGUUAUCACGGGAGACACACGGCGGGUGCUAACGUCCGUCGUGAAGAGGGAAACAACCCAGACCGCCAGCUAAGGUCCCAAAGUCAUGGUUAAGUGGGAAACGAUGUGGGAAGGCCCAGACAGCCAGGAUGUUGGCUUAGAAGCAGCCAUCAUUUAAAGAAAGCGUAAUAGCUCACUGGUCGAGUCGGCCUGCGCGGAAGAUGUAACGGGGCUAAACCAUGCACCGAAGCUGCGGCAGCGAACGUAUCACCCAAGACAACUUUACGGAGUUGACGAUUGACGGAGCGAAGCGACGUCAAAGCGUUCAUUAAAGUCGAGUUGGCUUAGGGAUACGUUCGUUGGGUAGGGGAGCGUUCUGUAAGCCUGUGAAGGUGUGUCGUGAGGCAUGCUGGAGGUAUCAGAAGUGCGAAUGCUGACAUAAGUAACGAUAAAGCGGGUGAAAAGCCCGCUCGCCGGAAGACCAAGGGUUCCUGUCCAACGUUAAUCGGGGCAGGGUGAGUCGACCCCUAAGGCGAGGCCGAAAGGCGUAGUCGAUGGGAAACGGGUUAAUAUUCCCGUACUUGGUGUUACUGCGAAGGGGGGACGGAGAAGGCUAUGUUGGCCGGGCGACGGUUGUCCCGGUUUAAGCGUGUAGGUGUGUGUUCCAGGUAAAUCCGGUUCACUUUAACACUGAGGCGUGACGACGAGGCACUACGGUGCUGAAGCAACAAAUGCCCUGCUUCCAGGAAAAGCCUCUAAGCAUCAGGUAACACGAAAUCGUACCCCAAACCGACACAGGUGGUCAGGUAGAGAAUACCAAGGCGCUUGAGAGAACUCGGGUGAAGGAACUAGGCAAAAUGGUGCCGUAACUUCGGGAGAAGGCACGCUGACACGUAGGUGAAGUGAUUUACUCAUGGAGCUGAAGUCAGUCGAAGAUACCAGCUGGCUGCAACUGUUUAUUAAAAACACAGCACUGUGCAAACACGAAAGUGGACGUAUACGGUGUGACGCCUGCCCGGUGCCGGAAGGUUAAUUGAUGGGGUCAGCGCAAGCGAAGCUCCUGAUCGAAGCCCCGGUAAACGGCGGCCGUAACUAUAACGGUCCUAAGGUAGCGAAAUUCCUUGUCGGGUAAGUUCCGACCUGCACGAAUGGCGUAAUGAUGGCCAGGCUGUCUCCACCCGAGACUCAGUGAAAUUGAACUCGCUGUGAAGAUGCAGUGUACCCGCGGCAAGACGGAAAGACCCCGUGAACCUUUACUAUAGCUUGACACUGAACAUUGAGCCUUGAUGUGUAGGAUAGGUGGGAGGCUUUGAAGUGUGGACGCCAGUCUGCAUGGAGCCGACCUUGAAAUACCACCCUUUAAUGUUUGAUGUUCUAACGUGGACCCGUAAUCCGGGUUGCGGACAGUGUCUGGUGGGUAGUUUGACUGGGGCGGUCUCCUCCUAAAGAGUAACGGAGGAGCACGAAGGUUGGCUAAUCCUGGUCGGACAUCAGGAGGUUAGUGCAAUGGCAUAAGCCAGCUUGACUGCGAGCGUGACGGCGCGAGCAGGUGCGAAAGCAGGUCAUAGUGAUCCGGUGGUUCUGAAUGGAAGGGCCAUCGCUCAACGGAUAAAAGGUACUCCGGGGAUAACAGGCUGAUACCGCCCAAGAGUUCAUAUCGACGGCGGUGUUUGGCACCUCGAUGUCGGCUCAUCACAUCCUGGGGCUGAAGUAGGUCCCAAGGGUAUGGCUGUUCGCCAUUUAAAGUGGUACGCGAGCUGGGUUUAGAACGUCGUGAGACAGUUCGGUCCCUAUCUGCCGUGGGCGCUGGAGAACUGAGGGGGGCUGCUCCUAGUACGAGAGGACCGGAGUGGACGCAUCACUGGUGUUCGGGUUGUCAUGCCAAUGGCACUGCCCGGUAGCUAAAUGCGGAAGAGAUAAGUGCUGAAAGCAUCUAAGCACGAAACUUGCCCCGAGAUGAGUUCUCCCUGAGACUUAGAGUCUCCUGAAGGAACGUUGAAGACGACGACGUUGAUAGGCCGGGUGUGUAAGCGCAGCGAUGCGUUGAGCUAACCGGUACUAAUGAACCGUGAGGCUUAACCUUACAACGCCGAAG
rnacentral:rRNA from 1 species